CACCUGUCACCUGUCCUGCAG
rnacentral:miRNA from 1 species